rfam:Astyanax mexicanus chromosome 18, whole genome shotgun sequence.
GUACUUCACUAUUGUAAGUCGCUUUGGACAAAAGCGUCUGCCAAAUGCAAUGUA